GGGUGCGAUCAUAUCAACACUGAUACACUGGAUCCCAUCAGAAUUCCGCAGUUAAGCGUAUUUGGGCGAGAGUAAUAAUAGAAUGGGUGAUUUCCUGAGAAGUUCUCAUGUUGCACCCC
rnacentral:rRNA from 1 species